AAGCGCUUGCAGCCAGACUUGCCUGUAGUUGCUCAUCCGGGCUUUUGCCCGGUGCACUCUUCUGUAGGCAGGCCAGCAUCAGUUUGGGCGGUUGGAUAAAGGCCUUGGGAAUGUGGCUUCCUUCGGGGAGUGUUAUAGCCCUCGGUGCAAUGCAGCCUACCGGGACCGAGGACCGCGCUUCGGCUAGGAUGCUGGCGUAAUUGUAA
rnacentral:rRNA from 1 species